rnacentral:rRNA from 1 species
UAAGGAAUAUUGGUCAAUGGACGCAAGUCUGAACCAGCCAUGCCGCGUGAAGGAUUAAGGUCCUCUGGAUUGUAAACUUCUUUUAUCUGGGACGAAAAAAGGCGAUUCUUCGUCACUUGACGGUACCAGAUGAAUAAGCACCGGCUAACUCCGUGCCAGCAGCCGCGGUAAUACGGAGGGUGCAAGCGUUAUCCGGAUUCACUGGGUUUAAAGGGUGCGUAGGCGGGCAGGUAAGUCAGUGGUGAAAUCCUGGAGCUUAACUCCAGAACUGCCAUUGAUACUAUCUGUCUUGAAUAUUGUGGAGGUAAGCGGAAUAUGUCAUGUAGCGGUGAAAUGCUUAGAUAUGACAUAGAACACCUAUUGCGAAGGCAGCUUACUACGCAUAUAUUGACGCUGAGGCACGAAAGCGUGGGGAUCAAACAGGAUUAGAUACCCUGGUAGUCCACGCCCUAAACGAUGGAUACUCGACAUACGCGAUACACUGUGUGUGUCUGAGCGAAAAGCAUUAAGUAUCCCCACCUGGGGAAGUACGACCGCAAGGUUGAAACUCAAAUGAAUUGACGGGGUCAUAGCUGUUUCCUG